AGAAGUAAAUAAGCAAGAUAAGUUAGAAGAAAAAUAAUUAUCUUUACUCGAAGGCUAGCGGUUUCGAAUUCUUCCAUAGAAAUUUAUAACGAGAAUAAAUCGUUUUUGGAUCUUACAUUUUUGACAUAAAUAUUUGCCAUGCCUAUUUAUUACGAAUGGACUACAUUAAAAAAGCAGCAAAAUUCAAAAAGGAAAUAUCCUAGCUUUGAAGUGUCAAAUCAUCCUUUGAAAAGCAAUGUGGUUUUUAUGAAGGAGAAUACUAGUACCAGCAAAAAUUUAAUGGAGAGUCUUACUAAAUGGAGUUCAGCAUUUGAAGAAGUAGAUCCACUGUUAAGGUUUGAGCAAAUGAAUAUUGAAAAUGAUAUAAAUUCAAGUGAACAGUUAGACCAUGUCAUAAAUUAUUCAAGUUCUUGGAAUGUGCGGCGCUCAGGAAUUCUGAACAAGUAUACAACUGGGGAAAAAUUAAGCAUUGUUAGUAGUUUUCUACCAGGAGGAGAAAAAACACUUAUAAGACAGGUAUCAAAUCUCAAUGAAAAAGUAAAACAUAGGUUGGAGCAAUUGGAUGACUUUGAUGAAAGCUCUGUGAGAAAAACAAUGGGUUUGAGCCAACAGGAGUAUGUAUCCAAGAUUAAUAUGCUCAAUGACGAAAUAAAAAAGGCUUGGGAUACAGAGCAAAGGGUAAAAGCAUUUAAAAUUGGUAUUCAAUGCUCAAAGCUUCUCGCAGAUGUUAGUGUGAUGCCAUUCUAUCCAAGUAAAUUUGUUUUAAUAACUGAUAUAUUGGAUACAUUUGGAAAUUUAGUUUUUGACAGAUUGAAGGCAAAAAGUUUUGGACCUAAUGGAGGGAAAGUUGAAGACAUAGAUCCCGCUCUAAUUCCAGAGUCGGCUAAAGAAACCUGUCAAAACUGGUUGUAUAAAAUGGCAUCUAUCAGAGAACUGCUUCCACGUCUAUAUAUGGAAAUGUCUCUUUUGAAAUGCUAUCUCUUUUUGUCUAAAGAUGAAAUAAAACCCGUAGUGGCCCGGUUAACAGCCAUGAUACGAGGAAUAGGCAACCCUCUUGUUGCUACCUAUUUGAGACUGUACCUUUGCCGUGUGGCGUCUAAAUUGAUGGAAAAAGAUAGUGAACAAUUCUUUUAUAGCAAUUUGAAAGAGUUUCUUGAGGAAUACCAACAAAUUUUCCAUCCAGCGAUAAAGAAAAAAUAUGAAUCACAGUUACUUACACCAGAAAAAUAUUUAAGUUUGUAUGUACCGGCGGUAGAUUGGCUUUUGUUCGGCACUUUAAAUUCCAAUAGGUGUAAGCUUACACUCUUGGAAGAUCUACUUCAGCAGUGUGAACAAAUCGAGAACAGCGAGUUACUUUUAAACUGUCUUAUAUCAGCUUUCGAUUCUCAAAGUGUAAACAAAAAAUCUUCCGUCAUUUUGGAAAUGAUUCAAAAGUCGUCAGAUAAAUUGGUUCUGAUUAAUGACAUGCUGGCAUCUCUGGGAGAACACUUGUGCGCAGCGGACAACACGCGACACCUGUCUCCGGAGAACCUUACACAAACAUGGUGGAAGAUCGCAUGCAACCUUAAUUCGCCACUACACUUCCUUCAAGUUUUAGAGCCGUGGCUUCAGUUUGCUUGCACACAUUUAUCGACACAACAUGUGAACAUCAUACUGCGCGGCACUAUCCGGUAUAUGAUAAAGUGCGGACGACCGGCUGACGAGUUCUCAGGACAUUUCCAAUUUGUUAUCAAGAGAAUGUUGAAAUCUAUUCCUGACGUUGAAGAACUUUUCCUAAUGGAUGCCUUCAUGCCUCUAGUGGAGUUAGUUCAGACAUCGAAUGCCCGCACACUGAUGGCCAAGACAGUGUUGUCCAAUUUUUUCACCAGAUACAGUUCCACUCACGUCGAGGACCAUAUUGUCAUAUCUAGUUUGAUGAGGCUAUGCUGCAUAUUGCACGAUUCCAUCAACGCGGUGACAGUGGAGGACGAAAUGAAAGUGAAUGCGGAUCUGAUCACCAAGUUUGUGCAAGCCGUGUCGUACCAGGAUGAUUUGGAACAGCAGUUGAAUUUCUACGUGGAGUGUCGCGCCGCAUUCAUCAAACUCGAUGCUGUGCUCGUCACACUAGUGCAUUGCGUGAACGCGCUAGCGACGAACGUGGCGGGUUCGCGCUGGCUGCACCGCGCGUGCGCCGCGUACAGCUUCGUGACGGUGCCGUCGCUGCGCUGCGCGUGCGCCCGGCUGCAGCUCUACCUGCUCACCGGGCAGGUCGCGCUGCUCAACAACUGCAUCGGACAGGCUGAGGCCAAUUUCAAAGCUCUGAUUGGAUUAAUUCCGGACAUUCCUGAUUACAUUUUAGAAGAUGGACAGAAAAAGGCGACAAACAUUCGGGUGGCAGGCGUCAUAAGUGAUUUUUUAUCAACGUUAUUGAUAUUACCGGAUAAUUUGGACAGUAACUGCAAGGCAUAUAUUUUAUGUGGCCUUAUAAAAACUAUGGAGAAGAUACAUUGGAAGAAAACGGAGCCGCUUUACUAUACAACCCUUCUGCGUAUACUUGAUUUACUAUGUGAAAUGAGCAGAGAAAAUUAUGUUUAUCAUAUUGAUUCCGUAAUCUCUAACGACAUGCUAUACGGAUCUGAUGAAGAAUUCUUAGCAGCUGUCGAUAAAUACGCUACUAAUAUAUGUCAGGAGUUGCUAUUGGUGUUGAAAAUGUUGGGUGAUGCGAAGGAGACGAAUAAGCAAUACAAUUUAGCGUUGGAGGUGUUCUGGCGAGUUGUAAGGCGAGGGGACCUGAGCCGGGCGCCUAUGCUCAGCCUCGCCAACAAUUUGUGGAUGCUCUCACAAAAAUUACAGGACUCAAAUAAUAAGUUGGCGAAAUCCAUGUGGUCAACGCUAGAAAAAGACCCUUCGACGAAACUAUUGCUACAGAAUCUCACUCAAAACAAAAGUGCCAAAGCUUGAAUAUAACUUAUAUUUAAUAUUAUUUGUAUGUGUAAAAUUAAGACCAUGAAUAUUAAACAUUUAAUGAAAGUGCUAUAUUGGUUUUAAUAGGUAUUAUGUUUUUACUCAUGUGACAAGUUAUUUAUACUGUGCAAAAUUAGUUUCUCUUGCAUAAAAAUCAAGAAGACCGAGAUGUACCCACUCAAAAAAUGUUAUACGCAGCCAACUAAGUCUUAAUAGUGUGGGCGAUAUGUGAGGGGGUAUCAUCUAUCCAGAUAGGUGAUAAG
rnacentral:misc_RNA from 1 species